UCCAGAACAAGACGCAGCCUUUAUUUGUUGUUGCAGAAAAAGGGGCAAAAUCAUUAGGGAAGCAAGAUGAGGAUUGCAAAGAAGGACAAAAGAGAUCAAUCUUCAACAUCUCCUUGUGCUCAUCUCAGAGCUGCUUACCACAAUUGUUUCAACAGGUGGUAUUCAGAGAAGUUUGUCAAAGGACAGUGGGGGAAAGAGGAAUGUGUUUCUGAGUGGCAAAAAUACAGAGCUUGCCUUUCUGAACAUUUGGAUGAUAAGCAUUUGAGUCGUUUUUUGGAAGCUGAAAUAGUUCCAUCUGAUUUAGGAAAGCCAGUUGACGGUGUUUCUCAGUGAAUUUUAUACUUUAAUCUUUAUUUAACACGCUAGAGAACAAGUUAGAAGGUAAUAAAUCUGCAGAACCUCCUAGCAAGCAAAACUGAUAAAAUGUAUAACGAUGGCAUCUGGAUGCAGACUAUUACCAUGCGCUAAAUUGCUGGAGAUGCAUAUCCAUUGAAUCUAGAAAUUUAUCUAUCCCAGGUUCCUCCUUUUGUUUUGCAAUUUCUGAUGUAGGAGAGUUUCGUUCUGUAGAAUAGAUGGAGAGAAGCCUGCUGUUGAAUUAUUUUAUUGGUUGUACCUUGUGAAUUUGAGGGCUCAGGAAACUUUUUCUGACAUGCUAGUGUUGAGAAUUUCAAGUUAAAUGUUAGUUAUUUACAACAACAGAUUUUGAUUUGGAGAUCUUGUUCAGUUGCUUGUACUCAUUGAUGAUGAAAUACAGCCAGGUUUCUUGUUUCCUA